rnacentral:SRP_RNA from 2 species
GCUGGGCAUGGUGGCUCAUGCUUGUAAUCCCAGCUCUUUGGGAGGCUGAGGUGAGAGGAUUGUUUGAGUCCAGGAGUUCAACACCAGCCUGGGCAACAUAGCAAGACCUCAUCUCUA